AACUAUGCUAAAUCUUCAUAAUAAAUCGAAUCCAACAUGCCACUGGUACUUUUUUUAUCUGGCGGUAGUUGAACUGAGUCGAAAUUCGGAAGAAAUGCCGCUAAAUAUUUUUCCCAGCGUGGUAACGAUUUUGCCAUCUGACCAGCUUCAGUUUAUAAUAUUCAUUCCAAAUUUUGGCACGAUGCCAGCAAUUUCGGCCCGCACGGUUCCUCCGCGGUUGCACUUCGCCGAAUGUCAGAAGCAGCUGGUACGUUCACUGAAAAAAUUAGAGCGCUCAGAGCGAGCCCUGCCGGCUUGCAUACGAAAAGCAUGCGAAUGAUGGAAAAUGACCUCGUCAUCUAUCAGGACCACUGGUAUUGCGACCGGAACCACCGAUAUUGCGUCGUUAGACGUGAAAAUCUUGGAUCGUCGCAAGCCGCACAGCAGCGACAGCGGGUGGCAUGCAGGAGGAAGAGCGAAAAUCGGAGGUUCGAAGACAAUCAGAUACUGUCGUAAUUCCGACAGAAAAUGAUACUGAUGGGAGGUGUAUGGUUGCAAAACAGAAACUUAAAGGAAUUGACGGAAGGGCACUACCAGAAGUGGAACCUGCGGCUUAAUUUGACUCAACACGAGAAAACUCACCCGGUCCGGAUACCGAUGGACUUGACAGAUCGAUAUCUCUUUCUCCAUCCGGUGGGUGGUGGUGCAUGGCCGUUCGUAGUUGAUGAAGAUAUAAUAUUAAUAAGGAACUCAAGGCGGCGAGCCUUAUCGUUAGCACGUCGGGGAAAAUGCUUAGCGGCAUUUCGUCCGUCUUUACGUUCUGGAUUCGAAUUCCGGCGAAGUCGACUUUACCUUCCAUCCUCUCGGGGUCGAGAAAAUAAGUACCAGUUGAUCACUGGUGUCGAUAUAAUCGACUUAUCCGCUCCGCCCAAAUUGCUAGUACUGUGCCAAAAUUUGAAACCAGUAUUAAUAAAGAGUUGUUAUUACCCAGUUCGGAUUUUAUUAUACUGGCACCGUGGUUACAUUCUGUAGCUCGGUGAUCCGAUUGUUUAGAUGUUGGUAGCCGUGCGUGCGCGCGUACAUUCCUGCGUAUGUAUGUAUGUAUGAAUGUGUGUAUGUAUGUGUGUGUAUGCAUGUAUAUAUAAAUAUAAAUACAUACACAUGUAUACAAACACACACAAAUAUGUGUGUAUGUGUGUUUUGUGCUUGUGCGUUUGUUUAUGUAUUUAUCCAUAUAUAUAUAUAUA
rnacentral:ncRNA from 1 species